rnacentral:rRNA from 2 species
GGGGGAUAUUGCACAAUGGGGGAAACCCUGAUGCAGCGACGCCGCGUGGAGGAAGAAGGUUUUCGGAUUGUAAACUCCUGUCGUUAGGGACGAUAAUGACGGUACCUAACAAGAAAGCACCGGCUAACUACGUGCCAGCAGCCGCGGUAAAACGUAGGGUGCAAGCGUUGUCCGGAAUUACUGGGUGUAAAGGGAGCGCAGGCGGACCGGCAAGUUGGAAGUGAAAUCCAUGGGCUCAACCCGUGAAUUGCUUUCAAAACUGCUGGCCUUGAGUAGUGCAGAGGUAGGUGGAAUUCCCGGUGUAGCGGUGGAAUGCGUAGAUAUCGGGAGGAACACCAGUGGCGAAGGCGACCUACUGGGCACCAACUGACGCUGAGGCUCGAAAGCAUGGGUAGCAAACAGGAUUAGAUACCCUGGUAGUCCAUGCCGUAAACGAUGAUUACUAGGUGUUGGAGGAUUGACCCCUUCAGUGCCGCAGUUAACACAAUAAGUAAUCCACCUGGGGAGUACGACCGCAAGGUUGAAACUCAAAGGAAUUGACGGGGGCCCGCACAAGCAGUGGAGUAUGUGGUUUAAUUCGAAGCAACGCGAAGAACCUUACCAGGUCUUGACAUCCGAUGCAUAGUGCAGAGAUGCAUGAAGUCCUUCGGGACAUCGAGACAGGUGGUGCAUGGUUGUCGUCAGCUCGUGUCGUGAGAUGUUGGGUUAAGUCCCGCAACGAGCGCAACCCUUAUUGCCAGUUACUACGCAAGAGGACUCUGGCGAGACUGCCGUUGACAAAACGGAGGAAGGUGGGGAUGACGUCAAAUCAUCAUGCCCUUUAUGACCUGGGCUACACACGUACUACAAUGGCGUUUAACAAAGAGAAGCAAGACCGCGAGGUGGAGCAAAACUCAGAAACAACGUCUCAGUUCAGAUUGCAGGCUGCAACUCGCCUGCAUGAAGUCGGAAUUGCUAGUAAUCGCGGAUCAGCAUGCCGCGGUGAAUACGUUCCCG